ACAGUUAACUAGUCCAACGCUCUAACCAUUGCACUCCACGAGUAGCCUGCCUGUUACGCGAAUGCAGUAGAAGCCAAGGUGUGUGACCUGAUGGCAGUGCUGCAGAAAUGAAGAGCGCUGCUCAAAGCGACAUCCAUACCGUCAGACUUCAGUUUAGUUCCAAAAACAGCUAUUUCUAAGCCUCACAAAGAGAACUUACCAAGGAAACGUUCAUUUAACAAAGGGGAGAUAACUGGCUAUCUAAGUGUUUGGGCAUUUUAAGACCCACCAGCUUUCUCUUUUUUCCCAGAAAUAAUUUUGUAGCCAAAAUGCAUAAAGGAGCUUCCACCAGACAGGGACAGCAGCAGUCAGAACUGAAGGGUCAGAAUCAACUUUUAGUGGAAGCCAAUGAGGAACUGCAGAAAAACUAUUUAGAAACACAGCUAAAAGUCACCCAGCUGGAGCAACAAUACAGUGACCUCCAAGGAACCAAUGCCGACAUCAAGAAACAUCUGAAGGACUGCCAUGCGCUACUAGUCGCUGGAAAUAUUGAUCCAGUUUUGGGAGAGAGAAUUGGAGAAUCUGCACCGCAAAAUGAGGAUCAACAACGCGUGGUGGUGUUCAGUUCGUUUGGACUGUUGUGAAUCUAUCCGCACUCUGGAGGGCACUAAACAACGCACCGGGGUUCGCUAACAGAGGGUGCUCCGAUUCAAUUCGAACAUCGCUGCAGAAUAUAUCCCGGGAUCUGUUAAGUGAACUGUGGACAUUUGGUGACAUGGCAACAGAACAAAGUGCACAACUAACAGAAGUUCAAAAGUCCAUGAAGGAUCUCAUGGAGGCUCGGGAGCAUCUCGUGCAGGAGAGGGAUAAUUUCUCCUUGGAAGUUGAAGAAACGGAGAAGGCUCUUGAGGAGGCAGAGCAGCUUUUAUUGGAGUAGAUACUGUAUGUGUGUAUAAGUGUGUGCUUGCUGUGUGUGCUUAAUGUAAAUGUAAUUAUAAAACAUUUAGUAUAUUUCACCGAACUCAAUUUAAAUUGUUAAUACUUGCAAAAAUAGUUGUUUUUCACUCAGUCUUAUUUGAUUUAAAAGCGGUUGGACUGCCAGUGUUAUUUUAGCCUGGGUACCAGGGUCGUCACUAGUUGCCACAGUCAUAAACCCCCACAUACAGGAUUAAUACAAUUUCUCUUAACAUCAGAUUUUAAACCUAAUCGCACUGCUAACAUUAUGUCUAUCACUAUCUUCUUUUUUUUUUCAUGAAUUUUGACUGGAAACCUGGUACCAGUCUCUUUAGCUAAUCCAUUCUUCCCUGUAUUCUCUCUGGCGAAUGAUGAUGAUCUGUAGGUUACAUGUGUGCACUGCAGAGGCCCAUUGGAGAUUUGACAACAAUAGAAUGUUGAGAUUUUUUUUUUACCUGUGCCAUGAUGUUCAUAACACUCCACCAACCUGCUCUUGCGCAAUGGAACCCUGAACGAUAUGUGACCACUUGGUUACAGUGACACCAUUCUGCCGAAGACACCCAAACCAGUGGCCACCGUAAAGCCUAAGAGCCUCACCGUCUCUGGAAGUUGCGGUAGCCCUGCUUGGAAUCUUUAGCCUAUAUUGACUAUUGGUUGAGACGCAGGGCCAGUUAGGGUAGGCUAUGUCAGGAUGGUUUAAUUUGGAAAUGUUAAUUGGGACAAGUUGGAAGAAAUAAUACAUUUAGGUUAUAGUUUGAGAUGCAUGAAUACGCCACACCAAAAGCUUGAUUUUUAUGGCUGUUUUAAAAUGAAUUCUCUGACAUUCUGACUUAUGUUCACAACUUGGUCAAUUGAUUUGAUUAAAUCUAAGCAAAUCAAUUAUAUGAA